rnacentral:lncRNA from 1 species
UUUAGGCUUUCCACUAAUGGUGCAGCUUUCUAUGGUUGAUCAACCAGGUUAGCUUUAGCGGAUGCAUAUCCAUCUUCUAUCUCGUGACUAUGAGACUAUGUUUUUUUAAAGUCUCCAAAUCCCUGUAGUUCUUUCUUACUUCUCAGGUUUUUGUUUUCUUGCAUAGUGCUUGUUGAAGGCUUUGAUUUGUUGGUUUUAUUCACAGUACACCAUUUUCAAAACCAUGACGCACACAGUAUAGAUGGUUGGAUUUAAGCAAACAACAGGAGUUUGCAUAUUAACUUCCAGCGAUAACUUCGGCCAUACUAUUGUAUUAUUUAACUGAUUCCAUUCAACAAGUUAUUGCCUUUCCAUUUCCAUCAUUUUAUCUGUUCUCAGCUUCAAUAGUGUCUGACCAGUUCCUUGCCUUUUUUUCUUUUGCUUUUUUCUGAUGGUAUAUAAAGAUGAUUCUCCAACAUCAGUUGUGAGGAUACCCAGAGCAUGUAUUUUAAGCCCAGAUAGACAAGGGAUUCCAUCAUCAACAGGUUACAUACAUCUUUUUUCAACUUUUGGUUACCUCCUAUUUUAAUAGUGGAUUGGCAUUCACUCUGUUGAUUGGGCAGGGAGAACCAAGGACAAUAACCAAAACAGUUCUUGUGGAAGCAAA